ACGGGAGGCAGCAGUGGGGAAUAUUGCACAAUGGGGGAAACCCUGAUGCAGCAACGCCGCGUGAGUGAAGAAGUAUUUCGGUAUGUAAAGCUCUAUCAGCAGGGAAGAUAAUGACGGUACCUGACUAAGAAGCUCCGGCUAAAUACGUGCCAGCAGCCGCGGUAAUACGUAUGGAGCAAGCGUUAUCCGGAUUUACUGGGUGUAAAGGGUGCGUAGGUGGCAGGGCAAGUCAGAUGUGAAAGACCGGGGCUCAACUCCGGGGCUGCAUUUGAAACUGUCUUGCUGGAGUGCGGGAGGGGCAAGCGGAAUUCCUAGUGUAGCGGUGAAAUGCGUAGAUAUUAGGAGGAACACCGGUGGCGAAGGCGGCUUGCUGGACUGAUACUGACACUGAGGCACGAAAGCGUGGGGAGCAAACAGGAUUAGAUACCCUGGUA
rnacentral:rRNA from 1 species